GAUGAAGAACUAGCGAAAUGCGAUAAGUAAUGUGAAUUGCAGAAUUCAGUGAAUCAUCGAAUCUUUGAACGCACCUUGCGCCCUUUGGCUAUUCCGAAGGGCAUGCCUGUUUGAGUAUCAUGAACACCUCAACCCUCAUGGUUUGCCAUGAUGGGCUUGGACUUUGGGGGUCUUGCUGGAUUGUAGUCAGCUCCCCUUAAAUGAAUCAGCUUGCCAGUGUUUGGUGGCAUCACAGGUGUGAUAAAUAUCUACGCUUGUGGUUUUACAUCAGAUAACCUUCAGUGAUGGAGGUUCACUGGAGCUCAUAAAGGUGUCUCUCCUCUGUGAGGACAGCUCUUUGAAUGUUUGAUCUCAAAUCAGGCAGGACUACCCGCUGAACUUAAGCAUAUCAAUAAGCGGAGGA
rnacentral:misc_RNA from 1 species